GAAAGAUAGAGCUCUUGUUAAACUCGCAUUUCUUUGUUAUCACCACAGUUCUGAUGUCUUACACAGCAGUUUUUUCUUUAAAAUAAAUCCUCAGGACAGAAGAUAAAACAAAUGCCAUGCUCUGGUGACUGGCAUAUACCAACUAGAGGCAUAUUCACAUGAGAAAACUGCUUGACAAAUAUUUCAUCUAUCUGAGAUAUUUUCCAGCUGAGUUGCCUUGCUAUUCUGUUCCCACCACAUUCUCUGCAUUGCACAGUGGAAAAGCAAAGACAUUUAACUUCUGCUAUGGACUGGGAACUUCAGAUGCUAAAAAACAGGACCAUCUAUCUUGUCUCCAUCUUUCCAGCAACUUAGAACAAGAUCAUGAAGAACCACCUCUAUGAUAAAAAACUUGGUCUUCCAGGACUUGGUCCAGCGAUCCUUCCUUGGUUGUUUCUUCAUGACAGGAAUAGGAUUUAGAUUUUGGGGACUGGGAAGUGUGGACAGAGCCAUCCACCCUCCAACUGCGAAAUGCUGGACAGACAGACUUCUUCAAGGACUGACUUGGGAAAGAAAGCAUCAUCAUGUUAUCCUUUCAUUAAAUAAACAGUACUUCUCAAUGUGCUUAGCUGUGGAUACUUGGGUAGGAGUUGCAAUACACUUGCUUUGAGGAUGCUGGAGGCAGUCUGCACUAAUGAUAUUGGAGUAGCAGUAAAAUGUGUGGACACAUUUUUUGAAUGUGGACAUUUGGAACAAAAUGAUUAAAAAUGAGUUCAUGCCAACACUCUCAGUGAUUACACCAAGUAUUUCACAGACAUCCUGCUCAGAAUUCAUCUGCUGGAAAUGUAAGACUCACUGUACUAUCAACAUUGAUAUUUCAGUACAGCAAUAUAUUCUUGCAUAUAUUACUUAGAAUCUACUGUAAGAUAUAAUUUAAAAUUCUGUUUUACUGUAGAUACAAACUCACGGAUAUGUAUUGAUUCAUAUAUUGCAUAUGUAUCUAUCCAUCAGUUUAUGGCACGUGUACACACACACAUACCUUCUAAGUUGCUUUCCACAUUUCAAACAAGACAGUUUCCAUUCAGUGGAAUACAAAAUAAAUACGGUGGUUAUAUUUCCUCUAGUACUACU
rnacentral:lncRNA from 1 species